UACGUAGGAUGCAAGCGUUGUCCGGAUUUAUUGGGUUUAAAGAGUGCGUAGGCGGCCAAUUAAGUUAGUUGUGAAAACGUUCUGCUUAACCGGAAACCCGCCAUUGAUACUGAUAGACUUGAGUACGACAGAGGGUGUUGGAAUGUGUGGUGUAGCGGUGAAAUGCUUAGAGAUCACGCAGAACACCAAUUGCGAAGGCAGAUGCCUAUGUCGUAACUGACGCUGAGGCACGAAAGCGUGGGGAGCAAACAGG
rnacentral:rRNA from 1 species